UUUCGCCACGUCAGAUAACCAAACCUCUGGCUGUAUUUCUUCCUCAACCUUCGUAGCUUGUUGAGAAAUUGAAAAGUCGAGAGCCUUGAAUUUCUGCUCCACUCACUCAAUAACUUUGACUAUUAUUAGCAUUUAUAAGAUCCCAAAAAACACAAAUCUGGAAUCACUGUUCGACUUCCCCUCCUCCUCCUCUCCCACUUUUUAUAUCAUCAUCUAAAUCCGCUAUAACCUAAAGCCACUGUGGCAUCUAGAAAUUUCAAAUCAAACAUCCUCAUCUCUGCACGAGUCACAACUAUAGCCGCCUCGCUAUGGUUUCAACUGAAGAGAGUCUUUUGGAAUGACCUCUAUGGAUCUUGGUAAAAAUUAAUUCCUCCGAUGAUGUUUACGGUCAGGAUUUUCUAUAAUUCAUGCGUCUGAUGCUUUUUUUAGUGUGGGUUUUGAGUGAAAACUUUUGACCCAACCUAAAUAGGCUUAUUAUCAUGUUUUUGUGAUAUGUUAUCUGUUUGCAUCAUAAUUAUUUGAAAAUUGAAUUUACUGCACUAUGAUUGCUUGAGGAAAGGUAGAGCUCUCAACCCACUACUAUUCCGUUUUCAAUUUUUUUAUUUUCUAGGAACAAAAUCUUUUCUAAUUUUCAUUUGACUAAACCAUUGAGGAUCAGCAGAAGAAGGACGGGUCAAGAACGAAGUUGAAAAUGAACGUGAAGCUUAAUCAUCAAGUUAACUAAGAAAGAAUGAUGUUAAUAAGCUUCAGAUCAAGGUCGAUGAGAAGACAUGUCAAAUCGUUCCAUGCUCUCUUCAAGACCUUUGGUUGUGGGUCUGUGGCUCCGUAUCAUGUGUUCAUCCUCUUAAUUUUAAUGGCUAUGGUGACUAUUUUAUGAUCCAGUCGUAAACUUAGAAACUUUGUAUUUGCCCAAAAAAGUAAAUAUUUUUUGUAAUAUUUAUCUUAUCCGGUGAUAUGUCUUUUAUGUUAUCUUCACUCAUGAUCAAUGAUUUUAAUGGCCUCCCUGAUAUUUGUGAUCAUCUUUAGAAAGUUCACAAAACAUGUUCUUCCACAAUCCAAUCGACAAACCAAAGCCUCUGCCAAGACCUCUGAAAUCAAAUCAUAAUAUCAAAAUAUCUACAGGAAGCAGUCCAUGAUGAUCCAGGGAUCAAUUAGCGUCCACUGGUUGAACACUUUCUAACGCCCCUCAGAUAGGGAGGUAUUUAUGAGCUGAGUUCAUUUGAUGUGACAAAGAGCAAUCAGUAUUUCAAGCUGACUACUGCACCCGUCUCAGUUAGGUUCACUUAGCACACUACCUCGAUAGAGAUCACAGAAACCAUUAAUCCUAUACCGGCAGAGGUCUUCCUGUUCCGGAGCUUUAAUCAAGUGUUGUUACUGGCUAACACAAAACAUCCUCUUACCAGAUAUUGGUGGGGAAGUUAUGGGCAUCAAAACCACCCACAACGGUCAGUUCAACAACUAACAACUUGCAUGUUCAUCCUCCUUACAUGGUGACAUAUAUUCAAUGGUCCCAGCGCUGAUAUGCCGGGGAGCUGCAUCUGUAAUAACAAAUCCCUCGCAUGGUGUGUACAUCGGUGUUUCCAUGACCAGCAGAAGGCUUGAUAGUCAUGGGAUGGUUGAAGAAAACAGAAGCGAGACAGCUCUACCAGGUGCUCGAGCUAUUGUUCCCGAAAUGACUGCGGAGUGCGGAGAAGCCAACAGUUCUGGAACAUGGGCUCUUUGUAAAGAAGGCAUGCAUUGCGUAAAAUCUUAAGUAAGGGAGUCUAUGACCCUCCUGUCGACUCCUACAAACUACGCUGGAGCUUUUUUAAAUUUCGCAUAUUAAUGAAAUAUGACUUAAGAAUCAUUCCCACCGUCAUGUUAUAUCUCAUCAAGUAAGCUCUGUUUUUACAUGUAUAUAUAUAUAAAUAAAAACUACCUUGCGAA